GCAUUCGUGGCCGAGUGGUCGAAGGCACCGGACUCAUAAUCCGUCUUCUUAGGAACAUCACUGGUUCAAAUCCAGUCGGAUGCA
rnacentral:tRNA from 3 species